rnacentral:lncRNA from 1 species
CAAAGUCAAAAGUGUCUGGUAAGUACAAUUCAAUGUCUGCCUCUGAUUUUUAUUGCAGGGAUAGAAUUUCCCUGCAGUUCUUUUCAGAGAGCUGUGACUGGGCAGGGGAAUGUCUGCACUAUCAUCUGAGAGUGUUUCUGCUGUGAAUUCCCGGUGGGCUGCGGGGACAGAGCAGAGCCCUGCCCUGGACUGGGACUGGAUAUCCUGCCAGCACCCCUGUGGAAAUCCCUGAUAAAAGACUAGUGGCUGUAAGGAUGGACUAGAACACACAAAAGUCCACAGGGCAUGUCUGGCCACUGAAACAGCAGAAGACUUUUUGGGUCUUUUCUUCUCCUUUUUCGUACAUUGCUGAGUGAACCUCUCAAAGCAGGUUCCAUGAACAUGUAUUUCCCCCAUGCUACACGGAAAUGCUGUCACAAAAAUCAGAACCUGACGAAGCUGCUUCCAUGCAUCAUUAUCCCACAGCACUGCUUCCAGCACCCCUCAGAUGUUGUUUUUUGGAGUUGAUGCUGAUCACCAUGAUCUGUGCAGCUCAGCCUCGUUGCAGCUGUAAUUAA